AUUCGUUAAUAAUAUGAUCCAAAUCUAAGCAUUAAAAAUAGUUCGAAUAAAAAUAUGAGUAGAAUUUGAGCAAUGUUAUACUCGACUCGUUUAAGAUUCAAACUACUCGAAUUUUUUAUUGUGAUUCGAUACAUACUCGGUUAAUACAUAUUCGAUUAGAUGUUCGAUACAUUCUCUUAUAAUAUAUACAAAUUUAAAU
rnacentral:lncRNA from 1 species